UGCUGUUGUCUGCGGUAUUCAAAAACUUUUGAAACACUGCAUGUCCAACAAAAUUUAUUUUUUGUGUGAAUGUACUGUUUUUCAACCCUACUCUCUUGACCAAGAAUGAAACUAUUUACAAAUUAAGAUGCCAACAGAUCACGAAGAGCCCUGUGGUCCCAGUCACAAGUCGUUUUGCCUGAAUGGGGGGCUUUGUUAUGUGAUACCUACUAUUCCCAGCCCAUUUUGUAGGAAGUGAACUGAUGCUGGCUUCUCUUUGUCUUAUUCCAAGUUGGGCAUGAGAUUUUCCCUGCAUUAGAAGGUUGUUGAGACCUGAAGCCUGGGAAGGUGCGUUGAAAACUAUACAGGAGCUCGUUGUGAAGAGGUUUUUCUCCCAGGCUCCAGCAUCCAAACUAAAAGUAACCUGUUUGAAGCUUUUGUGGCAUUGGCGGUCCUAGUAACACUUAUCAUUGGAGCCUUCUACUUCCUUUGCAGGUGUGGUAACACAUGCAUGUAGUCCUAGCUGCUUGGGAGGCUGAGAUGGGAAGAUCGCUUGAGCCCAGGAAUGAGAGGCUGCAGUUAAGCCAUGACUGCACUACUGCACUCCUGCCUGGGAAAGGCCACUUUCAGAGAGCCAGUUCAGUCCAGUAUGAUAUCAACCUGGUAGAGACGAGCAGUACCAGUGCCCACCACAGUCAUGAACAACACUGAAGAAACGUCAAAGUGAACCAAAUCAUUGUUUUUAUUUUACAAAGGCAGAAAAUGAAACACCACUAGGUAAAAGAAUUAAAAAUCUAAUCCUUUAUUUCUUAAAUAAAACGCUUGUGUAACUCGUAUCAUGAACCAUAAUCCAUUCUGCUGCAAGGUGUGUGUGCUUCUGUAAUGUGCAUCAGUCCAUCGGCAACUGCUAAGUAGGGGGUGAUACCAGUAUAAUUCGAAGUCACAUUGGUUCAACAUGACUCUCCCCAGAAAGCUGAUGUGCUGAAGCAACCAGAGGCAAAUGUUCACACACCUAGAGAGAAACCCUAAGGGAUAUAUGAAGAUCUUAUGAAAAAGGAUGAAAACCCUUUAAAUGCAAGGAGUAGCUGGCUUAGUGGCUUCAAAACCACCUCAUUCCUGCUGUUAUCUGAGAAGCUGCAAGUACUGAUGAAAAAACUGAGAAGACAUUUCACCUGGCAAUUAGAAAAAAGCGCUGACUGAUAGAUACCUCUGUAUCAUUCUUUCAAUAUUGAUGAAAAUGCUUUCUACUAGAAGUGACUGAUUUCAAGGAUCUGUCUCUCAAAGGAAGAAACAAAAACCCAAAAUUUUGACUGCAAAAGAUUGACUAAUUCUAGGUGCAAGUAACUGGAAAUUUAGGAUUGUUAUUGUACUACACAGGUCACAAAGUUCCAAACCUAUUUCCCUUGUAAUUUUUAGUGCAUGAUUUUUCAGAAUGCAGUUUCUAUCUUUUUAGGUGCAAUAUUAAGAACUGAUUAGGUCAGAACAAUUUAGUUUCUCCAGUUUUUUC
rnacentral:lncRNA from 1 species